UUGGCUGUUGUCCCGCUUCCGAGUGCAACAGGGCCGCCGAGAUCGACCGUCCUGAAUUAGCAUGUUCGGGGCCGCGGAGGAGGAUGACGCGGAUUUUUUGUCCCCUACAGGCGGCGCCAGAUUGGCCUCUCUCUUUGGAUUGGAUCAGACAGUAUCAGUCCAUGGAAAUGAAUUCUUCCAAUAUACAGCACCAAAACAGCCUAAAAAAGGCCAAGCAGCAGCAACACUAUGCACUGAGUGUGAAGAGAAGGGAUGGGACAAAGUGUUAACA